rnacentral:tRNA from 1 species
UGGGGAUUGGUGUAAUUGGCAACACAGCGGAUUCUGGUUCCGUCAUUCUAGGUUCGAGUCCUAGAUCCCCAG